GAUGAACGCUGGCGGCGUGCCUAAUACAUGCCAGUCGAGCGAACAGACGAGGAGCUUGCUCCUCUGACGUUAGCGGCGGACGGGUGAGUAACACGUGGAUAACCUACCUAUAAGACUGGGAUAACUUCGGGAAACCGGAGCUAAUACCGGAUAAUAUAUUGAACCGCAUGGUUCAAUAGUGAAAGACGGUUUUGCUGUCACUUAUAGAUGGAUCCGCGCCGCAUUAGCUAGUUGGUAAGGUAACGGCUUACCAAGGCGACGAUGCGUAGCCGACCUGAGAGGGUGAUCGCCCACACUGGAACUGAGACACGGUCCAGACUCCUACGGGAGGCAGCAGUAGGGAAUCUUCCGCAAUGGGCGAAAGCCUGACGGAGCAACGCCGCGUGACUGAUGAAGGUCUUCGGAUCGUAAAACUCUGUUAUUAGGGAAGAACAAAUGUGUAAGUAACUAUGCACGUCUUGACGGUACCUAAUCAGAAAGCCACGGCUAACUACGUG
rnacentral:rRNA from 1 species